AGGAGAACUGCUUGAACUCGGGAGGCAGAGAUUGCAGUGAGCUGAGAUCAUGUCAAUGCACUGCAGCUUGAGUGACAGAGUGAGACCCUGUCUCGAAAAAAACCCUCCUCUAUGAAGUCUUCCAGCCACUUUUACUGAGUAGCUCUCUUUGGCACCCUCUAUUUCAUUCAUUCAUUUAUUCAGCAAACACUGAAUGAGCACCUAUGAUAGGAGGCAUUGUUCUAGGCACUACAGAUACAGAAGGAAACAAGACAGGUUCCUGUAUUCAAGUAGAGAGACAGUAUCUUAGGGAGACAGACAAUGUCCUAGGCAAAUAAGCAAAUAAAUGACAUAAUUUCAGAUGGUGAUGAGUGUAAUGAAUAUAAUAAAACAGGAGUGAUAUUACAGGGUGAGGAGGAGGCUGCUUUAAUGGGGAGAAGACUUCUCCACCAAGGUGACCUCUGAGCUGACACCCAAAUGACAAGAAGGAACAAGCUAUGUGAGGAUCUGAGUGAAGAGGGAUACAGGCAGAAACAAAAGCUAAGGAAAGCUCCCAAUGUGGAACCAAGCCUAGCAUGUUCCAAGAACAGAGCCUUUGUUUCUCAGCCAGGUAUUGAGACAUUGUCUCUUACUGUUUUCUGUCUCAUAGGUCUGUGUUUUGCCAUCCUAAAAAGGUGGAAAUAUCUGGUAACUGGGGAUGAGAUAGCUUGCCAGUUGGGAUCCUCUGGGCUCCAUAUUCUGUCUUCUCUCCCUCCCUACUCAUCAAACUAAAUUGUUCAAUUUCUGCUAAUGCACUUAAGCCAUUUAACUCAUGUGCACACAUGCACUUACCACAUAUAUGCAUAUACAAGGAUAUACUUAUACACGUCUACACAUGUAUAUGUAUGCUGUACACAGGUACCCACAUACACACAGGACUUGCUAAGCCACCAGAGUCUUCUGAUGAGUUGACUGGAAAAAGAAACAGAUGUGUAGAAUAGGAACACGACUCACAUUUUGCCAUUCAAUAUAGUAGAGAUGCAUGAAGAAACUUGAGAAUCCUGUUUCCAGCCUAAAAUAUACAAUGUCUGCCUUGGCCAAGGCUAGAGAAAGGAGAAGGAGAAAAGAUAGGGUGGAAAUACAGAUGGAAGGAGUAGAAGUGAUGAAUUUGUAAGCAUGUACCCCAAAAUGAUGGGACUACAGCAGAAAAAAAGUCAGGAGACUCAAGUAGGUUUCAAACAGGAGAAGGAAAGGUUAAGAACUUAC
rnacentral:lncRNA from 10 species